rnacentral:rRNA from 1 species
GACAGAGGGUGCAAACGUUGUUCGGAUUUACUGGGUUUAAAGGGUGCGUAGGUGGGUAGGUAAGUCAGCGGUGAAAUCUCCGAGCUUAACUCGGAAACUGCCAUUGAUACUAUCUAUCUUGAAUGUCCUGGAGGUGAGCGGAAUAUGUCAUGUAGCGGUGAAAUGCUUAGAUAUGACAUAGAACACCAAUUGCGAAGGCAGCUCACUACGGGAUUAUUGACACUGAGGCACGAAAGCGUGGGGAUCAAACAGG